GGGCGCGGCAGCCAAUCAGCGCUCGGCUUCUAUAGGGUUUGAGUUAUUAGACGCUGAUCUCAAAACAUCCUUCAUCAGACACCAAGGAGAGGCCAACAGAUGAGGGGAGCCAUUUUUCUGCAAUGGAAUUAAAUGGCCAAGUGGGUUUUUCCUUUGUUGCGAGUGGGGAAUGUUUUUCCUUUGACUCCACCAUCCAGUUCAGGACGCUUGCAUGUGUUGUUUAACAUUUGUCAACAGGCUAAAGGACUCAAAAUUGGAAGAAUGAAGAAGACCUUUUAAAAAGAUCUGGAUUUUUCCUUAUGACUUGGAAUCCAUCUUUGUCUUGUAUAACUAGGUCAUAGCACACCAUUAAUGUCAGCAGUUAACAGUUUUGAAUUCCAAAAAACCUAAGUAAAUGACAUUUAAUUUUUUUCCUCUUUUUUUUCUUGGGUGGGUGGGGGGAGCUUGGCGCUGUCUUAAUCUGUAUUCUCUUGACUGAACAAUAAAUUUUUAAAUAUAGUUUCCUCUAUUAAACACUUAAACCUGGCCAUCUUAAUAACUCCUCUCUUUUUAACAAGGUAAUGUUUUAAAUGUAUAGUUUUAGGACUAGCGAAAUGGCAGCAACAAAAAAAUGUGUGAGCAGUCGUUACUCUUAAGUUUCUAAAAACCUUUUACAUUAGCAGUAAACAGUCCUCAGCGAAGCCGCCUUUUUGCCAACCCAACUCUGGAAAGGUUGCAGACGUGGAAGGAGCAGAAAAAUGCCAUAAGAGUGUAACUUACUAAAAGGUUCUUGGCUGGAGAAGGGGCAACAACCGGUUACCCGCGGAGUGGACAACCCUUCCUUCCCUUGGACAGCAGGAGCAGGCCUAGUUUGACAAUCCUCCCGUCAAAGGACCCUGGGGGUGGAGAUGGCUGCCGCUGCUCGGACCAAGGAGAGAGGCGUCCAAACGUUGUGGAGUCACCUACCCUGUGCGUUCUCCAGCUGCCUGUGACCCCCCAGCAACCCCUGCCCGCGGGACUGGAGCAGAGAACUGGGUGUAACCUUGUGAGCCGUUCCAAAGUGUUGAAAAGAUAGGAUCCUGCCUUGUUGCCCGAA